rnacentral:rRNA from 1 species
CCUACGGGAGGCUGCAGUGGGGAAUAUUGGACAAUGGGGGGAACCCUGAUCCAGCCAUACCGCGUGUGUGAAGAAGGCCCUCGGGUUGUAAAGCACUUUCAGUGAGGAAGAACGCCUGGUGGUUAAUACCCAUCAGGAAAGACAUCACUCACAGAAGAAGCACCGGCUAACUCCGUGCCAGCAGCCGCGGUAAUACGGAGGGUGCGAGCGUUAAUCGGAAUUACUGGGCGUAAAGCGCGCGUAGGUGGCUUGAUAAGCCGGUUGUGAAAGCCCCGGGCUCAACCUGGGAACGGCAUCCGGAACUGUCAAGCUAGAGUGCAGGAGAGGAAGGUAGAAUUCCCGGUGUAGCGGUGAAAUGCGUAGAGAUCGGGAGGAAUACCAGUGGCGAAGGCGGCCUUCUGGACUGACACUGACACUGAGGUGCGAAAGCGUGGGUAGCAAACAGGAUUAGAUACCCCGGUAGUC